UCGGGGGUAGCUCAGCGGCAGAGCAGUUGGCUGUUAACCAAUUGGCCGUGGGUUCGAUCCCCACCCCCCGAGCCA
rnacentral:tRNA from 1 species